rnacentral:rRNA from 1 species
ACACGUAGGAGGCAAGCGUUAUCCGGAUUUACUGGGCGUAAAGCGCGUGUAGGCGGCUUGACAAGUCGGAUGUGAAAGCUCCUGGCUCAACUGGGAGAGGCCGUUCGAUACUGUCAGGCUCGAGGACGGUAGAGGGAGGUGGAAUUCCCGGUGUAGUAGUGAAAUGCGUAGAUAUCGGGAGGAACACCAGUGGCGAAGGCGGCCUCCUGGGCCGUUACUGACGCUGAGACGCGAAAGCAUGGGGAGCAAACGGGAUUAGAAACCCUAGUAGUCC